AGAGUCAUGGGGCCACAAGAAAAAGAAAAAAAGUCAUUCUACUGGAAAACUGAAAAAAUAUAUUUGAUUUGGCUCUUCAAUUAUGCAUAAAAACUCACUGGGUAAAGAUGGAAUGAAAGACUAUUCAGAAGAAGGGACAUUUUGCAAAGCCAGAGCAUCCCUCCACUUCAUUCAACUCCUACAAGGAACCAAAACUUGGCUGGGCGUGGUGGCUCACGCUUGUAAUCCCAGCACUUUGGUAGGCCGAGGCGGGCAGAUAACGAGGUCAAGAGAUCAAGACCAUCCUGGCCAACAUAGUGAAACCCCGUCUAUACUAAAAACACAAAAAUUAGCUGGGCAUGGUGAUGUGUGCUGUAAGCCCAGCUACUUGGGAGGCUGAGGCAGGAGAAUCACUUGAACUAGGGAGUUGGAGGUUGCAGUGACCCGAGAUCGUGCCACUGCACUGCAGUCUGGUGACAGAGUGAGACUCCGUCUGAAAAAAAAAAAAAAAGAAAAGAAAAGAAAUGAAACUUAUGUCCUCGCUGUGACAGUUUAUGUGCCAGUACUAUAUCUUAUCCUAACAUGUAGUUACAAGAUUUUUCUUCCAGAUAUAACAUUCCACUUCAAUUUUUCCCUGUGCCUGACAUGACCUGUUCCUCUACAAUUAGAUACUAUGUCUUUCCAUGUUAUUUACCAAUCUAGACCUGCAAACAUCCAAAUUGACAUCACUAUUUAGAACACAAAAAUAUUUUUAGUAUCCUCCGUCUGAUCUGAGUGUCUAUAAUUUUCUCAAUGUCAUGCUGUACAUUUUCAACGUGUCUGUGAUACAGAAGCAAAAAAGAAAUUUAGGCAGUUAGUGAGGAUAAGAGAGUCCUUGGUAAGGUUUCCCUUCUAAUGAAAAUCAGCUGUGAAAUCAUUUCUUUGUUAACAGAAAGCAGCCUAAAAAAUUGAGCUACAGAUACAGAUAAGCUGGAAGCGUGCAUGAUUGAAUGUCAGCAGCUAUGCCAACAGGAAAAGGCUAACCAGGGUCCAGGCGUGUUCAGCAUGGAGGCUCCAUCUUUCCUUUCCUUUGUCAACCACAUGCACAGUAAGGAACAGACAGCAUGGUACUGGCCAGGUAUAGAACCCAUCUGCAUAAUAAAAGAUUAGGGUAGGGAGGCCAGCUUCUUUGCCCAUUAUGUAAGGCACACAUGGUCCAACAAAUCUUUGGAAUGUAUGUAAAUCAGCCAUCACCUCCUUAAGCUAGUCUAAGGCUAUUAAAUUCUACUAUGAGUUUUAAGUGUGGAUUUAGGUCUUACAAUAUUAAGUAAUGGAGUCCAUCAUCUGUCAAAGAAGGAGAGACAUA
rnacentral:lncRNA from 10 species